rnacentral:rRNA from 1 species
CACGUAGGGGGCGAGCGUUGUCCGGAUUCAUUGGGCGUAAAGAGCUCGUAGGCGGCUCAGCAAGUCGGGUGUGAAACCUCCAGGCUCAACCUGGAGACGCCACUCGAUACUGCUGUGGCUAGAGUCCAGUAGGGGAGCGUGGAAUUCCUGGUGUAGCGGUGAAAUGCGCAGAUAUCAGGAGGAACACCAGCGGCGAAGGCGGCUCUCUGGGACGGUACUGACGCUGAGACGCGAAAGCGUGGGGAGCGAACAGG